ACUCGUACGGGUGGCAGCAGUGGGGAAUUAUGCGCAAUGGGGGAAACCCUGAUGCAGCAACGCCGCGUGGAGGAUGAAAUCCCUUGGGAUGUAAACUCCUUUCGAUAGGGAAGAUUAUGACGGUACCAAUAGAAGAAGCCCCGGCGAACUUCGUGCCAGCAGCCGCGGUAAUACGAGGGGGGCCAGCGUUGUUUGGAAUUAUUGGGCGUAAAGGGCGCGUUGGCGGUUUGACAAGUCUGAUGUGAAAUCUAUGGGCUCAACCCAUAGCCUGCAUUAGAAACUGUCGGGCUUGAGUAUGGGAGAGGUGAGUGGAAUUUCCGGUGUAGCGGUGAAAUGCGUAGAUAUCGGAAGGAACACCUGUGGCGAAAGCGGCUCACUGGACCAUAACUGACGCUGAGGCGCGAAAGCUAGGGGAGCAAACAGGAUUAGAUACCCUGGUAGUCCUAGCCCUAAACGAUGAUUGCUUGGUGUGACAGGUACCCAAUCCUGUCGUGCCGAAGCUAACGCGAUAAGCAAUCCGCCUGGGGAGUACGGUCGCAAGGCUGAAACUUAAAGGAAUUGACG
rnacentral:rRNA from 1 species